AUGAACCAGCAUCAAGUGAGGAAGCUGAUAAAGAUUGUUAGUAAAAUGGGUCAAAAGAUGGCAAUUAAACUAUUUGUUUACACUUUAUCCAAUACAACAGCGAACUGCAGGAUGUGGUUCCCAAAGCAGUUUACUAAAGAUUACCUCCCAAACUACAUGAUUGGUAGGCAUGCAAAGGUUAAAGUAUUUCUACCAGAACACGAUGAUUAUCUAGAUGUUUCCAUGAACACCGUGAAGGAUGGGCGGUCGGCCAUCACAAGGGGUUGGACCAGAGUCGUGUGUGCCUUCCGCAUGGAGGAGGGCACAAUAUGCGCAUUCUGCUUCACCUUGUUCAGCAACCAGAAUGUACUUCGCCUCUUUCUUUACCGUCUUUAA
rnacentral:rRNA from 1 species